GGGUUGUGAGGUUAAGCGACUAAGCGUACACGGUGGAUGCCCUGGCAGUCAGAGGCGAUGAAGGACGUGCUAAUCUGCGAAAAGCGUCGGUAAGGUGAUAUGAACCGUUAUAACCGGCGAUGUCCGAAUGGGGAAACCCAGUGCAAUUCGUUGCACUAUCGUUAACUGAAUACAUAGGUUAACGAGGCGAACCGGGGGAACUGAAACAUCUAAGUACCCCGAGGAAAAGAAAUCAACCGAGAUUCCCCCAGUAGCGGCGAGCGAACGGGGAGCAGCCCAGAGUCUGAAUCAGCUUGUGUGUUAGUGGAACGGUCUGGAAAGUCCGACGGUACAGGGUGAUAGUCCCGUACACCAAAAUGCACAGGCUGUGAACUCGAAGAGUAGGGCGGGACACGUGGUAUCCUGUCUGAAUAUGGGGGGACCAUCCUCCAAGGCUAAAUACUCCUGACUGACCGAUAGUGAACCAGUACCGUGAGGGAAAGGCGAAAAGAACCCCGGCGAGGGGAGUGAAAAAGAACCUGAAACCGUGUACGUACAAGCAGUGGGAGCACCUUCGGGUGUGACUGCGUACCUUUUGUAUAAUGGGUCAGCGACUUAUAUUCUGUAGCAAGGUUAACCGUAUAGGGGAGCCGCAGGGAAACCGAGUCUUAACUGGGCGUUAAGUUGCAGGGUAUAGACCCGAAACCCGGUGAUCUAGCCAUGGGCAGGUUGAAGGUUGGGUAACACUAACUGGAGGACCGAACCGACUAAUGUUGAAAAAUUAGCGGAUGACUUGUGGCUGGGGGUGAAAGGCCAAUCAAACCGGGAGAUAGCUGGUUCUCCCCGAAAGCUAUUUAGGUAGCGCCUCGUGAACUCAUCUUCGGGGUAGAGCACUGUUUCGGCUAGGGGGUCAUCCCGACUUACCAACCCGAUGCAAACUACGAAUACCGAAGAAUGUUAUCACGGGAGACACACGGCGGGUGCUAACGUCCGUCGUGAAGAGGGAAACAACCCAGACCGCCAGCUAAGGUCCCAAAGUCAUGGUUAAGUGGGAAACGAUGUGGGAAGGCACAGACAGCCAGGAUGUUGGCUUAGAAGCAGCCAUCAUUUAAAGAAAGCGUAAUAGCUCACUGGUCGAGUCGGCCUGCGCGGAAGAUGUAACGGGGCUAAACCAUGCACCGAAGCUGCGGCAGCGACACUAUGUGUUGUUGGGUAGGGGAGCGUUCUGUAAGCCUGCGAAGGUGUGCUGUGAGGCAUGCUGGAGGUAUCAGAAGUGCGAAUGCUGACAUAAGUAACGAUAAAGCGGGUGAAAAGCCCGCUCGCCGGAAGACCAAGGGUUCCUGUCCAACGUUAAUCGGGCAGGGUGAGUCGACCCCUAAGGCGAGGCCGAAAGGCGUAGUCGAUGGGAAACAGGUUAAUAUUCCUGUACUUGGUGUUACUGCGAAGGGGGACGGAGAAGGCUAUGUUAGCCGGGCGACGGUUGUCCCGGUUUAAGCAUGUAGGCUGAUUGUCCAGGCAAAUCCGGAUAAUCAAGGCUGAGGUGUGAUGACGAGGCACUACGGUGCUGAAGUAACAAAUGCCCUGCUUCCAGGAAAAGCCUCUAAGCAUCAGGUAACAUUAAAUCGUACCCCAAACCGACACAGGUGGUCAGGUAGAGAAUACCAAGGCGCUUGAGAGAACUCGGGUGAAGGAACUAGGCAAAAUGGUGCCGUAACUUCGGGAGAAGGCACGCUGGUGUGUAGGUGAAGUCCCUGCGGAUGGAGCUGAGACCAGUCGAAGAUACCAGCUGGCUGCAACUGUUUAUUAAAAACACAGCACUGUGCAAACACGAAAGUGGACGUAUACGGUGUGACGCCUGCCCGGUGCCGGAAGGUUAAUUGAUGGGGUUAUCCGUAAGGAGAAGCUCUUGAUCGAAGCCCCGGUAAACGGCGGCCGUAACUAUAACGGUCCUAAGGUAGCGAAAUUCCUUGUCGGGUAAGUUCCGACCUGCACGAAUGGCGUAAUGAUGGCCAGGCUGUCUCCACCCGAGACUCAGUGAAAUUGAACUCGCUGUGAAGAUGCAGUGUACCCGCGGCAAGACGGAAAGACCCCGUGAACCUUUACUAUAGCUUGACACUGAACAUUGAGCCUUGAUGUGUAGGAUAGGUGGGAGGCUUUGAAGCGUGGACGCCAGUCUGCGUGGAGCCAACCUUGAAAUACCACCCUUUAAUGUUUGAUGUUCUAACGUUGGCCCCUGACCGGGGUUGCGGACAGUGUCUGGUGGGUAGUUUGACUGGGGCGGUCUCCUCCCAAAGCGUAACGGAGGAGCACGAAGGUUAGCUAAUCCUGGUCGGACAUCAGGAGGUUAGUGCAAUGGCAUAAGCUAGCUUGACUGCGAGCGUGACGGCGCGAGCAGGUGCGAAAGCAGGUCAUAGUGAUCCGGUGGUUCUGAAUGGAAGGGCCAUCGCUCAACGGAUAAAAGGUACUCCGGGGAUAACAGGCUGAUACCGCCCAAGAGUUCAUAUCGACGGCGGUGUUUGGCACCUCGAUGUCGGCUCAUCACAUCCUGGGGCUGAAGUAGGUCCCAAGGGUAUGGCUGUUCGCCAUUUAAAGUGGUACGCGAGCUGGGUUUAGAACGUCGUGAGACAGUUCGGUCCCUAUCUGCCGUGGGCGCUGGAGAAUUGAGGGGGGCUGCUCCUAGUACGAGAGGACCGGAGUGGACGCAUCACUGGUGUUCGGGUUGUCAUGCCAAUGGCACUGCCCGGUAGCUAAAUGCGGAAGAGAUAAGUGCUGAAAGCAUCUAAGCACGAAACUUGCCCCGAGAUGAGUUCUCCCUGAGACUUUAAGUCUCCUGAAGGAACGUUGAAGACGACGACGUUGAUAGGCCGGGUGUGUAAGCGCAGCGAUGCGUUGAGCUAACCGGUACUAAUGAACCGUGAGGCUUAACCUUACAACGCCGAAG
rnacentral:rRNA from 1 species